CCUCCACCUUACGCAGAUAUAACAUGCAUUUAAGUCCGGUUCACCCCUUUUGUAGGGUUUUCUCCUCCCACCGUAAAAAAACGAGUGGGAAAUAGCUAUAUACUAUUCAGUUCAUAAGGUGUGAUCAUUGAAGAUUUUCAGUUAUGCCUCACCUCAAUGUUACUCCUGUCACCUCAAUGUUACAGUACGAGGGAUAUUUUUCCAUGCACUCGGAAAUUCUAUAAAGACGUCUUUUAGUUUUAAAUUUCAAUUACAUUUCGUCUGUUACAUUUUUUUCAUUUACAGCGCCUCGGUAUAAGUCCUGUACAGUACUGAUAUCAAGAAAACAAAGAAGCCAUAUAUACAAGGACAAGGUAUAUUUGUUCAUUCCAGUACUCGAGUAGUUCACCCCCCUCCCCCCGGUUGCGUGGGAAUGUACUCGCCAAUAUGAAGGACGUGUUAGGCUGAACGUGAUGUUUAUUUCCUAAAACCCAAUGAUAA